rnacentral:rRNA from 1 species
GAUGAACGCUGGCGGCGUGCCUAAUACAUGCAAGUCGAGCGAACGGACGAGAAGCUUGCGUCUCUGAUGUUAGCGGCGGACGGGUGAGUAACACGUGGAUAACCUACCUAUAAUACUGGGAUAACUUCGGGAAACCGGAGCUAAUACCGGAUAAUAUUUUGAACCGCAUGGUUCAAAAGUGAAAGACGGUCUUGCUGUCUCUUAUAGAUGGAUCCGCGCUGCAUUAGCUAGUUGGUAAGGUAACGGCUUACCAAGGCAACGAUGCAUAGCCGACCUGUGAGGGUGAUCGGCCACACUGGAACUGAGACACGGUCCAGACUCCUACGGGAGGCAGCAGUAGGGAAUCUUACGCAAUGGGCGAAAGCAUGACAGAGCAACGCCGAGUGAGUGAUGGAGGUCUUCGGAUCGUAAAACUCUGUUAUUAGGGAAGAACAUAUGUGUAAGUAACUGUGCACAUCUUGACGGUACCUAAUCAGAAAGCCACGGCUAACUACGUG